GGGAGGGGGGGCGUCUCCCGCUGGUUGCGCAGCGCCAUCUGCCUCUGCAACAGCAGCACCUCCCGCUGGGACUCGCGCAGCAGCCCAUCGAAGUCCCACACGUAGAGCCACUGCGGACCCUCCUGAGGGGAUGUGUGGAUGCAUACAGCCAGACCCACCGGCAAACAGCCUCAAGCCUGGAGCGCAGAAAUGCCCAGGUCUGGGACUCAUGGCUCCACCCCUGUCUCCCUCUCCCACCUGGGCCCUUGCCAGGGGAACCUACUCCCAGCAACCUCCACCCUCCCGUUCAUUUGCAUCUCAUUAACAUCUUGUCUGCAUCCCACAACAGGCAGAUGGCCCUGUGCAGGGCUGAGCUGGAAGAGGUAACCAGGGCCUCCUCGCACCUUGCCCACCAGAGUGAGCCUGGCCUGCAGCUCCCUGCACUCCCGCUGCAAGGCAGCAAUCUGCUUGUCCUUGGCCAGCAGUGCACUGGCUGUCUCACUGAGGUCCCGGGCUCGCUGGCUGGCUAGGGCCUUCCGAUACAACUCCAAGCUGGCCCCUGGCCGGGGCAAGGGGGCACUCACCUCGCCAGAGGAGGGCGGUUGGAAAGGAUUAACUCCACAUCUGAGUUUAGGAUCAAAGGAUGCUGCUAAUUUGGGGCUGCCACUGUGAUGGGUCUCAUCCCUGCCCCCACUCCAGCUCUAUACCCUGAGAUGAGCUCAGCAGGAGGCUGCCGCCAGCACCAGCACGUGGUAAUCCAGAAUCCUGCUCCCUGCCUGCUCAGGAACCUCCCCAUCCAGCUCUUCUCUGCCCCCUGUAGCUCCAGAAACUUUUGGCCUCCUUGCCUGGCCAGCCUCUGCCCUUCCUGCACCUUAGCCCCUAGAUUCUUGCUUUCCUAGGUGCUGAGACUGUGACUCCCAAGCUUCAGACAACCCUCAGGCCCAGCCCUGGCUCCCCUCUUCCUCGGUCACCCAGCCUCCACCCAGCAGCCUCCCCUACGUUGACGGACAAGUCAGUGUAGGCCAGCGUAGGAUGUUAAGGGUAAACAGGGGAACUACAUCUGACCUAGCAAAAAGUCUUGCUUGAAAGUUAUUACAAUGAAAUGUGGCCUGGACGCGGUGGCUCAUGUCUGUAAUCCCAGCACUUAGGUAGGCAGAGGCAGGAGGAUCGCUUGAGCCCAGGAGUUCGAGAUCUGCCUGGUAACACGUGUGACUCCAUUCUCCACAAAAAUGGUAAAAAAAAAAAAAAAGAAAGAAAGAAAAAGAAACAAAGAAAGAAAGAAA